rnacentral:rRNA from 1 species
CUUGGCCUACGGGACGCAGCAGUGAGGAAUAUUGGUCAAUGGGCGGGAGCCUGAACCGGCCAAGUCGCGUGAAGGAAGAAGGUACUUAGUAUUGUAAACUUCUUUUGUCGGGGAACAAAGGCGGAGACGCGUCUCCGGAUGAGUGUACCCGAAGAAAAAGCAUCGGCUAACUCCGUGCCAGCAGCCGCGGUAAUACGGAGGAUGCGAGCGUUAUCCGGAUUUAUUGGGUUUAAAGGGUGCGUAGGCGGGCUUUUAAGUCAGCGGUAAAAAUUCGGGGCUCAACCUCGUCCGGCCGUUGAAACUGG